AUAGCUAGCCUGGUUGCUGUAGCCACAGAGGAAUUUUCAAGGACAAGAACCAGUGCUAGUUAAACUGUGUUCUCGUGUGGUUUUCCAUACUGGCUCUCUGCAAGGAUUUUCAAGAAAGGAAUAUCAUCUCCAAAUCAUGAUGUGCCAAUAAGCUCAAGUUAGCUGUGGCCUUUUUCCCCAGGCGGUAGUCCUGCAAUCUGAAUCCAGGAGAUGCAGCUCUGAAUCCAAUAUUUCAGAAGAAUGAAGAUGAAGUAGACCCAGGAGGAACUGUUGAAGAACAAGCCAGACAGCCCCCCCCCCCAAGCUGCCCACCAGGCUGAGCUGUACUUGGUGUUUGCCAACAUGCUGUAAUUUCCAGCCUGGUUGUUGUAGCCACAGAGGAAUUUUCAAGGACAAGAACCAAUGCUGGUAAAACUGUGGUCUCGUGUGGUUUUCCAUACCGGCUCUCGGCAAGGAUUUUCAAGAAAGGAAUAUCAUCUCCAAAUCAUGAUGUGCCAAUAAGCUCCAGUUAGCUGUGGCCUUUUCCCCAGGCGGUAGUCCUGCAAUCUGAAUCCAGGAGAUGCAGCUCUGAAUCCAAUAUUUCAGAAGAAUGAAGAUGAAGCAGACCCAGGAGGAACUGUUGAAGAACAAGCCAGACAGCCCCCCCCCCCCCAAGCUGCCCACCAGGCUGAGCUGUACUUGGUGUUUGCCAACAUGCUGUAAUUUCUAGCCUGGUUGCUGUAGCCACAGAGGAAUUUUCAAGGACAAGAACCAGUGCUAGUUAAACUGUGUUCUCGUGUGGUUUUCCAUACUGGCUCUCUGCAAGGAUUUUCAAGAAAGGAAUAUCAUCUCCAAAUCAUGAUGUGCCAAUAAGCUGCAGUUAGCUGUGGCCUUUUUCCCCAGGCGGUAGUCCUGCAAUCUGAAUCCAGGAGAUGCAGCUCUGAAUCCAAUAUUUCAGAAGAAUGAAGAUGAAGUAGACCCAGGAGGAACUGUUGAAGAACAAGCCAGACAGCCCCCCCCCCAAGCUGCCCACCAGGCUGAGCUGUACUUGGUGUUUGCCAACAUGCUGUAAUUUCCAGCCUGGUUGUUGUAGCCACAGAGGAAUUUUCAAGGACAAGAACCAGUGCUGGUAAAACUGUGGUCUCGUGUGGUUUUCCAUACCGGCUCUCUGCAAGGAUUUUCAAGAAAGGAAUAUCAUCUCCAAAUCAUGAUGUGCCAAUAAGCUCCAGUUAGCUGUGGCCUUUUCCCCAGGCGGUAGUCCUGCAAUCUGAAUCCAGGAGAUGCAGCUCUGAAUCCAAUAUUUCAGAAGAAUGAAGAUGAAGUAGACCCAGGAGGAACUGUUGAAGAACAAGCCAGACAGCCCCCCCCCCCCCCCCAAGCUGCCCACCAGGCUGAGCUGUACUUGGUGUUUGCCAACAUGCUGUAAUUUCUAGCCUGGUUGCUGUAGCCACAGAGGAAUUUUCAUGGACAAGAACCAGUGCUAGUUAAACUGUGUUCUCGUGUGGUUUUUCAUACUGGCUCUCUGCAAGGAUUUUCAAGAAAGGAAUAUCAUCUCCAAAUCAUGAUGUGCCAAUAAGCUCAAGUUAGCUGUGGCCUUUUUCCCCAGGCGGUAGUCCUGCAAUCUGAAUCCAGGAGAUGCAGCUCUGAAUCCAAUAUUUCAGAAGAAUGAAGAUGUUAGUCAACUCUGUAGUACUUGUUUGUGUGUAAAUGAUUCCAAUGAGUGAGAUUUAUAGCAAAUCAGGUGUAAAUAAGCAUCUUAUAGACAAUGGUGAAGUGCUGUACUCUGAAUUUAAUGCCAAAUCUAGCCUUCAAAACAGAUUCUUAAAGUAUUUUUUUUUUUAAAAAUGGGCAUAAUAAUGCUAUCUCUGCAUUUUCUACAUCAUGUAGCCACCUCAUACAUGAAAACACUAGCAGUUGUCAUGAAUCUUUAAGUUUUGGUGUGUUUUUUGCCAUUUUCUUUGUUGCUCCAUUUGUCCUGGAAGCCAACAAUUUGGCAUAUAGUGUUGUUUAGACUGUCUAUUAACACAUGAUCACUAAAUUUCUUGUGUUAAACUGAACAGUUCUGUUACCUUUGUAUAUAACUGGACCAGAAAAGCAAAAUUUUGACAAGUUGAGGCAUUUCAGUUUGGCUCUUUGUCAUUUUUUAUAUAAAACACUAAGCCGAUGAAGUGGAAAAACCUUAUUUUGCUUAGAAAAAAAUCUUAAAAGAGUAGGCAGGCCAUUUUUGUGGUGCUGUUCUAUUGACACCGUUGAAAGCUACAAGGAAAACUUUACUUGGUCAAAUUAUUCCAAUACAUAAGGAAAUAAUGGCUCUUCAAAGGUUUGCGGCUUAACAUUUGAGGGAAAUGGCUGUUUCUGCUUUUUAUGAAAAUACCACAGGUGCUAAUACUUGUCUGAUUCAUUGAGUGUUUGAUAUAUCAUUGCCAAACUUUCAGUAUGUGUUGCAUAUAGCCUGCAGCUGAACAUUAGGAGUUUUGAAGUCUGUUUCUGAAAAAAUGUUGCUUAAAUAGGCUCAAGACCACAGUUAAUACAGAAAAAAGAGUGCUUGUAUUCAAGUAUCAAUAUUUUAUUAAAAUUGAAUGAAAAAGAAGCAAAAAAUGUUCUUUUUGCAGAGAACUUGACUGAAUUUGACACUCUAUUGCAGAAAUUGAUAGUUUUCAGUGUAAAUAUUGAAAAAAUCAUAGCUUGUGGAAGUCUGAAAAUUAGUUGUUUAUAGCCGAUUGACUCCUUGGCGGAAGGGUUCUGUAUUUGAACUCAAUUUUGACAGUCGGGUCAAUGGUCAACAUGGUGUUUUCUUGUGAUUAUAUUUUGUGUCUUGAAUUGUUCUAGAGAUGCCAUGUCCUUGUUUUCCAAUUUGGAUGUGCAUAAAGUCAAAAGCCAGGUUAGUGUCUAUAUGAAACAUAACUGUGGUCUCACGCCAUUAACGUUAGAUACCAAACCGCCAAUCGGAACACCUCGGCUAGUAUCAAACAGAUAUGACCUCGAAAAUAAUACGGGUUAUUGGAAAAUAGUCCAAAAAGUCCCCUAAUGAGAAACUAAGUGGAGAUGUCAUUUAUUUUUAGUGGGUGGGGUUAAGUCUGCUUCCAAUUGACUCUUUCUGAGAUAGUAACUGUGAUCAGUGGCAAAAAAUAAGAUCACGAAUACUUCAUUUUAUUUCUUUGAAAUACAAAUAAGUCUGAAUCUAACUUUACUAAGAUUGAUAAAAGGUUAGACUUUCUUAACUCACUGUAUUUACAAACUCAUUUUUUAUAACUAAAAUUUACAUUUCUUUAACCAGGGACGUUUGGUUUAUAUGUACGUGCUAAAACAUACCUCUUCUCCAAAUAUAAUCUUUGACUGUCAGUGACAUAUUUAAAUAUAUGUAUUCAUCAAUAUUGUAGUGUGGGUGUUGGUAACAAUCAGCUCAAUGUAAUGGCACAUAAUUGGAUGCCUGUUCACUAAUAUAGCUCUCUAAAUAAAUUAGAUCAUCAUGAUAGUC